rnacentral:rRNA from 1 species
GAUGAACGCUGGCGGCGUGCCUAAUACAUGCAAGUCGAGCGGACGGACGAGAAGCUUGCUUUUCUGAUGUUAGCGGCGGACGGGUGAGUAACACGUGGAUAACCUACCUAUAAGACUGGGAUAACUUCGGGAAACCGGAGCUAAUACCGGAUAAUAUUUUGAACCGCAUGGUGCAAAAGUGAAAGACGGUCUUGCUGUCACUUAUAGAUGGAUCCGCGCUGCAUUAGCUAGUUGGUAAGGUAACGGCUUACCAAGGCAACGAUGCAUAGCCGACCUGAGAGGGUGAUCGGCCACACUGGAACUGAGACACGGUCCAGACUCCUACGGGAGGCAGCAGUAGGGAAUCUUCCGCAAUGGGCGAAAGCCUGACGGAGCAACGCCGCGUGAGUGAUGAAGGUCUUCGGAUCGUAAAACUCUGUUAUUAGGGAAGAACAUAUGUGUAAGUAACUGUGCACAUCUUGACGGUACCUAAUCAGAAAGCCACGGCUAACUACGUG